rnacentral:rRNA from 1 species
CCUACGGGUGGCUGCAGUGAGGAAUAUUGGUCAAUGGGCGAAAGCCUGAACCAGCCAUGCCGCGUGCAGGAUGACGGCUCUAUGGGUUGUAAACUGUUUUUGUACGGGGGUAAAACUCGUUACGUGUACGUCGUUGCCAGCAUCUUACGAAUAAGGAUCGGCCAAUUCCGUGCCAGCAGCGGAGGUGAUACGUAGGUGUCAAGCGUUUUCCGGAUUUACUGGGUGUAAGGGGAGAGUAGGCGGGAAGGCAAGUCUGCUGUGAAAGCCCGCGGCUCAACCGCGGAACUGCAUUGGAAACUGGCGGGCUGGAGUGCGGGAAAGGUAGGCGGAAUUCGUAGUGUAGCGGUGAAAUGCGUAGAUAUGAGGAAGAACACCAGUGGCGAAGGCGGCUUACUGGACGGGAACUGACGCUGAGGCUCGAAAGCGUGGGGAGCAAACAGGAUUAGAUACCCUAGUAGUC